UGUGUCCAGUGAUGGGUAGACAUCUUCACCAAUAUGGUAAGCUAAACGAACAGGGCAUUUGGCAUAGCCAUAGAGGCGGAGAUCCUCUUUAAAAACCUUCAAAGUAAGAAUAAAGAACAAGCUAAUAAGACUUCCAAGGCCAAGGGGGCAACAAAUAAAGCUGUGGCUGAGGUGGAGGCUAUGAAGAAAUAGCAAUUUGGAUAGUCUAUAAAGCUUACCUCUACCUUAGAAGAAAUUGAAAACUUUAAAAAGGAAGUCCACUUUUGCCAAAGUGAAGUGGCUUCCAUGACGAGGUGGUGAAGACUUCUAAUGCUUACCAAAGGCUUGUUGCCGAGGCCCUGGAGGUGAUCAAUAAAGAGAAUGUUGCUCUAAAAGAGCAGGUAAGGAACUCUAAAGCGCUUGGCUCGAAGGAGGUGGAAACAGUAAGUAAGGGAGCUAAGUCUAUUGGUAGUGAGGUUAAAAAGCAUUCCGUUGACAACUUUUACAUAACAGAGGCAUACCAAAGUUUUGAGAAGUAUUGGCGAAAGUAUGCCCACAUCGAGGUGGUUUAGUUGGAUCGAAGCUAACUUUCAGACCUUCAAUACCUUUGACUUGAGGUUUGAAUACUUAGAGGGAAAAGAGCCUCAAACCCCACCAGAGGAAACUACAUGAUAAAAUUUGAAGACAAAGCUAAUGAAGAAGAUGAUGAAGUUGAAGAAGUCAUGGCUCUCGAUGCCAUAAUGCCUUUUGUACCUCCCCUCCUCUACCUAUGUAGAUUGGGUAGCUUGUAAUCAUUUUUUUUUAGGCUUGGAAGCCCACAUCUUACAAUAUUUUUGUUAAUUAAUGAAAGAUCCUCU
rnacentral:lncRNA from 1 species